rnacentral:rRNA from 1 species
UCCCCUAGUAACUGCGAGUGAAGCGGGAAAAGCUCAAAUUUAAAAUCUGGCGGUCUCUGGCCGUCCGAGUUGUAAUCUAGAGAAGUGCUGCCCGCGCUGGACCGUGUACAAGUCUCCUGGAAUGGAGCGUCAUAGAGGGUGAGAAUCCCGUCUUUGACACGGACUACCAGGGCUUUGUGGUACGCUCUCAAAGAGUCGAGUUGUUUGGGAAUGCAGCUCAAAAUGGGUGGUAAAUUCCAUCUAAAGCUAAAUAUUGGCGAGAGACCGAUAGCGAACAAGUACCGUGAGGGAAAGAUGAAAAGAACUUUGGAAAGAGAGUUAAACAGUACGUGAAAUUGCUGAAAGGGAAACGCUUGAAGUCAGUCGCGUUGGCCGGGGAUCAGCCUCGCUCUUUUGCGUGGUGUACUUUCCGGUCGACGGGUCAGCAUCAGUUUUGAUCGCUGGAAAAAGGCCUGAGGAAUGUGGCAGCUCCGGCUGUGUUAUAGCUUCUGGUCACAUACAGCGGUUGGGAUUGAGGAACUCAGCACGCCGCAAGGCCGGGUUUCGACCACGUUCGUGCUUAGGAUGCUGGCAUAAUGGCUUUAAGCGACCCGUCUUGAAACACGGACCAAGGAGUCUAACAUGCCUGCGAGUGUUUGGGUGGAAAACCCGAGCGCGUAAUGAAAGUGAAAGUUGAGAUCCCUGUCGCGGGGAGCAUCGACGCCCGGACCAGAACUUUUGGGACGGAUCCGCGGUAGAGCAUGUAUGUUGGGACCCGAAAGAUGGUGAACUAUGCCUGAAUAGGGUGAAGCCAGAGGAAACUCUGGUGGAGGCUCGUAGCGAUUCUGACGUGCAAAUCGAUCGUCAAAUUUGGGUAUAGGGGCGAAAGACUAAUCGA